AAAGCAGGGAUUGUGUGUAUCGGGGUUGUGCGUGCUACCAUAGGUGCACUUUGUCCGAAAGAUUUCCCUGCGACACCCAUAUGGGGAGGAUGGGCAGUUGCUUUUCAUUCCUUCUAUUGAAACUUUCAAAAAUCAUCUUCUCCACAUUU